rnacentral:rRNA from 1 species
AACGAACGCUGGCGGCAUGCCUAACACAUGCAAGUCGAACGAGACCUUCGGGUCUAGUGGCGAACGGGUGCGUAACGCGUGGGAAUCUGCCCUUGGGUUCGGAAUAACAGUUGGAAACGACUGCUAAUACCGGAUGAUGACGUAAGUCCAAAGAUUUAUCGCUCCAGGAUGAGCCCGCGUAGGAUUAGCUAGUUGGUGAGGUAAAGGCUCACCAAGGCGACGAUCCUUAGCUGGUCUGAGAGGAUGAUCAGCCACACUGGGACUGAGACACGGCCCAGACUCCUACGGGAGGCAGCAGUGGGGAAUAUUGGACAAUGGGCGAAGGCCUGAUCCAGCAAUGCCGCGUGAGUGAUGAAGGCCUUAGGGUUGUAAAGCUCUUUUACCCGGGAUGAUAAUGACAGUACCGGGAGAAUAAGCUCCGGCUAACUCCGUG